UACGGAGGUCUCAAGCGUUGUUCGGAUUCAUUGGGCGUAAAGGGUGCGUAGGUGGCGAGGUUAGUCAGGUGUGAAAUCUCGGGGCUCAACCCCGAAACUGCACUUGAUACUGCCUUGCUAGAGUACUGGAGAGGAGAUUGGAAUUUACGGUGUAGCAGUGAAAUGCGUAGAUAUCGUAAGGAAGACCAGUGGCGAAGGCGAAUCUCUGGACAGUUACUGACACUGAGGCACGAAGGCCAGGGGAGCAAACGGG
rnacentral:rRNA from 1 species